rnacentral:rRNA from 1 species
CAGCAGCCGCGGUAAUACGUAGGUGGCAAGCGUUGUCCGGAAUUAUUGGGCGUAAAGGGCUCGCAGGCGGUUUCUUAAGUCUGAUGUGAAAGCCCCCGGCUCAACCGGGGAGGGUCAUUGGAAACUGGGAAACUUGAGUGCAGAAGAGGAGAGUGGAAUUCCACGUGUAGCGGUGAAAUGCGUAGAGAUGUGGAGGAACACCAGUGGCGAAGGCGACUCUCUGGUCUGUAACUGACGCUGAGGAGCGAAAGCGUGGGGAGCGAACAGGAUUAGAUACCCCAGUAGUCCCUGUCUCUUAUAA